GCAGCUGUGUGGAAAGAUUCAUCCGCUGCAAAAUGUGAUUGUACAUCAGGCAGUGUGUGGGAACGGAGCUAUGACUAAUGGCUGCUUUACAUAUAAAUGAGAAGGUUUGUGCUAGGAACUGUAAAAAAAUACAAUCACUCAGCUGACGGGCAGGCUCCUUAUCGUGGAUGCAGGAGAGGGACCACCAGAAAGGUAGCCCCACCAAAAAAAAAAGCACAUCUGGGCAGAGAGUGUCGGAACAGAAGAGCUAUGUUGUCCCUUGCACCUUGAAGUGAUGAGCAUUGGCAGAUCUCCUGAUCUCAGCCUGGGGCUGCUGACGGUUCAGGUCCAUUUCAGAGAGAGAGAGAGAGCAACAUGCAUGGGGUGAACCUCAAAAGAGAAAAUCGCUGAGACAGGCUGUCUAGACAUUGCAGAUGUGGACAGAUGUUGGGUCUGUAAUUUAUAACAACGGCCUCCAGAAGGCAAUUCCAAUUUGUUUCGGUAUGAAGAGUUCCAUCCUCAACACUGCAUAAGCCAGAUGUAUUGGCACAUGUCCAUAACCUCAGCAGUGAGGAGCUGGGAGCAGGAAGAUCAGAAAGAGUUCAAGGUUAUCCUCAGUUAUGUAACAAGUGUAAAGCCAGCCUACUAUCUAGGAGAUACUAAAGAUAGAAUACUAGGGCUGGAGAGAUGGCUCAGCAGUUAAGAGCACUGACUGCUCUUCCAAUGGUCCCGAGUUCAAAUCCCAGCAACCACAUGGCAGCUCACAACCAUCCUUAAUGAGAUCUGACUCCCUCUUCUGGAGUGUCUAAAGACAGCUGCAGUGUACUUACAUAUAAUAAAUAAAUAAAUCUUUUAAAAAAUAGAAUACUAUUUUUAAAAAUUAGUAUUUGAGGAUUAGAAAGAUGGCUCAGUGGUUAGGAGCACUGACUGCUCUUCCAAAGGUCCUGAGUUCAACUUCCAGCAGCCACAUGGCCACUCAUAAUCGUCUUUAAUGGUAUCUGAUUCCUUCUUCUGGUGUGUCGGAAGAAAGCAACAGUGUAGUCAUA
rnacentral:lncRNA from 1 species